GUCAACUGUCUGAUCUUCAGCAACGACCUAACUUCUCUGAGCCUCUGCUUUACCAUCUGUAAAACGAGGGUGUCAGUGUGGUCUCCUUAGUGGGAAUGCACCCAGUGAGAUACUGCAUGUGAAAAGUGCAUUGUUCAGUGUAAAUAACUGUUGGCUCAUGUAUUUAGGGCAGAUACUUUGGUUUCUAAUUCUCAUUGCAGCAUUUCUAUUUCUGUGGCACUUUUUUCCCGUAAAUUUCAGUUCAGCGUGUGUCCCCCUGGGGCUCCAAAGCUUCUGUUACCUUCCUUCGGAGAUGAAAGAGUGAAAUGGAGCAAGAGGGGCCCGGAGUACUGUGUGUUCUGGACAUGUGAUCAAGCCACGGCUCAGAGGUCUGGGUAUGAGGCAGCCCUGCCAAUCACAGAGGAGUCAAACCCACUGACCCAGGACCUCGACAAAGCAGAUGCCGAGGAAAUUGUUCCAUUGCUGGGACAAUGUGAUGCUGAGAUCUUCCAGGAGGAGCGGCAAGUCAUGCCCACAGACUAGGAACCUGAGGGGGAGCUGGUGGUGCUGAGUGGAGGGGGCAGCUCUGGCAGGAUGGCGUUUCUCAUGUCUGUCUCCUUCAACCAGCUUUGAAAGGUCUAGGACAGAAACCUCUACACCUACCUCAUUGCAAGCAGUGACAGGUCUAUGGUGGCAUCUAGGGAGGGGAUUGAAGAACUGAAGAAGGUCUGUGUUUUCCCCUGAUAGUCAACCAGACAUCUCUGUCUGUUCCUUCUCACGAGGACACUGAAGUCCCCAUCCAGCCAAAGCCCAUUAUCUUCCCCAGUCCUGACCCUGACAUCUCCAUGCAAUAGGUUUGUAUCCUAGAAUCCUCCUGGUGGCACUGUCUCACCCACCCUCCUCUCCUAGGUGGUCGCUGGGAAGAAGAGGGUGAUUGUCAUUGGCAUUUCGGUGGGACUCUCUGUGAGUGUGAAGACAGCCUGGGGGGAUCCAUUCUACAGGGAGGAAGGGGGUGGGGGCAGAACAGCAUGGAAAAUAGAUUGCGGAAGUGGGUACUAGAAAACAGAAAGGGUUCACGCAAGGAAUUUUGAUUUUACUCUCACUAAUUGAGACCCAGCUGCAUGAAUGUGGAAUGACAGGGAAAGGAUCCGAUUCCAGAAUACCUGUGUGUCAGUCCAUUCAACAAGCAAGGUAGAUGGACUAGUCCCAGGGUCAGCAAACCACAGUGGCCAUCAUGCUGCUGCCUGUUUAUGUAAAUAAAGUUUUAUUGAGACACAGCCAUUUGUGUUUACAUAAGAUCUAUGGCCACUUCAUGCUACAACGAUAGGGUUGGGUAUUGCAUAGAGUUCACAGGGGCCCCAAAGCCUAAAAUAUUUACUCUCUUGCUCUUUACAUAAGAAGCUGACCCCUGGACCUGUCCUUUGCUACUUAAGCAUGGUCCUUGCUUAGCAACAUCAGUAUCUCCAAAGAUUUGCUAGUAAUGUAGAAUCUCGCCCCCCACCAAGACCUACUGAGUCUGAAUCUGCAUUUUAACAAGAUUCCAAGCACUGGAUCUGGUGUCCCCAAUUUUCUCUCACCACUGCAGUAUACUGAUUCUAACAAUUCACUAAGAGAAACAGGUCGAGCAAUGCUAGAUGCGGAAGGAGACACACAAGAAGGGCAGGACACCGACCUUAAGGAGCAUACAAUUUAGUCCAGUAGUUUUGAAACUUUACCAUGCAGAGGAUUUCCUUGGUGGACCAUGUUAAAAAUACAGGCCUGGAGCUUUCCCCUUCCAAGGCAGAUCCAGUAAAUCUUCCCUGGGGCUGGAACUCUGCAUUUCUAACAAGGACUCGGGGGAAUCUGAUGGUCCUGCGCCUCAGGAAACACUAGAGUAACCCCUGCGCUCUCAUCAUACCCUUUUUCUCCCCCUGCCAUCAGGCUCACUUUGUGGCAGGCCAGGUGGACUCCGGCAUGGACAGCCCAGGCACCUUCUUACCAGUUCUGGUUGGUUUCAGCCCCGUGAACAUGGCCAGGUGAGCCCACUGUAAUGAAAGGCAGUGACGGGCCAGGCCCCUGAGGGAGGCUGAGAGGAAACCUGUCAAAAUCUACAGUACAGGGGCGAGUGGGUGGCUCGCUCAGUGGGUUAAAGCCUCUGCCUUUGGCUCAGGUCAUGAUCCCAGGGUCCUGGGAUCAAGCCCCGCAUCGGGCUCUCUGCUCUGCAGAGAGCCUGCUUCCCCUCUCUCUACCUGCCUCUCUGCCUGCUUGUGAUCUCUGUCUGCCAAAUAAAAAAAUAAAAAUCUUUAAAACAAAACAAAACAAACAAACAAAACCAAAAUCUACAUUACAGCCACGAAGAGGAGGGCAUGGUGGCUAUGGUCUUGCUCACCACAUCUCAGAACAUUA